GAUGAUGUGGCGAAGUGGCCUAACGCGGCAGCCUGCAAAGCUGCUAUUCGCGGGUUCGAAUCCCGCCGUCAUCU
rnacentral:tRNA from 1 species